CCUACGGGUGGCAGCAGUCGAGAAUCAUUCACAAUGGGGGCAACCCUGAUGCAGCGACGCAGCGUGAGGGAAUGAAGGUCUUCGGAUUGUAAACCUCUGUUAUGUGGGAGCAAAUUAAAAAGAUAGUACCACAAGAGGAAGAGACGGCUAACUCUGUUCCAGCAGCCGCGGUAAUACAGAGGUCUCAAGCGUUGUGCGGAAUCACUGGGCGUAAAGCGUGCGUAGGCGGUUUCGUAAGUCGUGUGUGAAAGGCGCGGGCUCAACCCGCGGACGGCAGAUGAUACUGCGAGACUAGAGUAAUGGAGGGGGAUGCGGAAUGCGCGGUGUAGCAGUGAAAUGCGUAGAUAUCGAGAGGAACACUCGUGGCGAAGGCGGGUUCCUGGACAUUAACUGACGCUGAGGCACGAAGGCCAGGGGAGCGAAAGGGAUUAGAUACCCUGGUAGUC
rnacentral:rRNA from 1 species